rnacentral:rRNA from 1 species
GAUGAACGCUGGCGGCGUGCUUAACACAUGCAAGUCGAACGAUGAAGCUGGAGCUUGCUCUGGUGGAUUAGUGGCGGACGGGUGAGUAACACGUGAGCAACCUGCCCUUGACUCUGGGAUAACAGCCGGAAACGGCUGCUAAUACCGGAUAUGCACCAUGAACGCAUGUUCUGUGGUGGGAAAGAUUUUUCGGUUGGGGAUGGGCUCGCGGCCUAUCAGCUUGUUGGUGAGGUAAUGGCUCACCAAGGCGUCGACGGGUAGCCGGCCUGAGAGGGUGACCGGCCACACUGGGACUGAGACACGGCCCAGACUCCUACGGGAGGCAGCAGUGGGGAAUAUUGCACAAUGGGCGAAAGCCUGAUGCAGCAACGCCGCGUGAGGGAUGACGGCCUUCGGGUUGUAAACCUCUUUUAGCAGGGAAGAAGCGAGAGUGACGGUACCUGCAGAAAAAGCGCCGGCUAACUACGUG